UACGAAGGGGGCUAGCGUUGCUCGGAAUCACUGGGCGUAAAGCGCACGUAGGCCGUUUGCUAAGUCAGGGGUGAAAUCCUGGAGCUCAACUCCAGAACUGCCUUUGAUACUGGCGGACUCGAGUUCGGGAGAGGUGAGUGGAACUGCGAGUGUAGAGGUGAAAUUCGUAGAUAUUCGCAAGAACACCAGUGGCGAAGGCGG
rnacentral:rRNA from 1 species